rnacentral:rRNA from 1 species
GUCCACGCCCUAAACGAUGGCAACUAGUUGUUGGGGGAGCAAUCCCUUAGUAACGAAGCUAACGCGUGAAGUUGCCCGCCUGGGGAGUACGGUCGCAAGAUUAAAACUCAAAGGAAUUGACGGGGGCCCGCACAAGCGGUGGAUGAUGUGGUUUAAUUCGAUGCAACGCGAAAACCUUACCUACCCUUGACAUGUCAGGAAGUCCGCUGAGAGGUGGAUGUGCCCGAAAGGGAGCCUGAACACAGGUGCUGCAUGGCUGUCGU